rnacentral:tRNA from 2 species
GCGGAUAUACGUUAAUGGUAAACCGAACGCCUUCCAAGCGUUUUAUGUCGGUUCAAAUCCGACUAUCCGCA